rnacentral:lncRNA from 1 species
AACCAAAUUAUUUUUUAUGACACUUGCAUUGUGCUUGAUAUUUGAUUCUCUUUUGCCGACCAAGCAAGCUAAUAAAGCAAAUGAUAAGGAGAAUACCAACAAAAAAAGAAAAUGAUAUGGCCCCUUGUAGGGGAUCCCUAAAAGAAUAGCCUCUUUUGUAAAUAACAAGGAAGGAUCAAAUACAUUACUUAGAAAAGAAAAGAAUGAAGGAAAGAUCAAAUACAUUAGUGACAUGACAUCUCUUUUAGAAUUGGAGACAUGAUAAAUAUUAG